AUGGGUUUGGGGGAGGUGCCUGAAUACGGUUUGAGAGUCUGUUUGAGUUGGGUGAAGAAGGCGGGAAGUUAAUCCUCUUCCAAUCAGCUCCCCAUCUCGCCCUCUGGCGGCUCCGGACCACAGGCCGAGUUACUGUGAUUACCGGCAUGCUCCUAGACCGGCAUUGACAGUCCCCACGUGAGGGACCGCGGUGGGAGUCCUAAAUGGGGGAGGAGGGGACGGGCGGCACUGUGCAUCUGCUGUGCCUCGCGGCCUCCAGCGGGGUCCCCCUAUUCUGCAGGAGCAGUCGCGGCGGCACCCCCGCCCGUCAGCAGCUCCCGUUCUCUGUCAUCGGUUCCCUCAAUGGAGUCCACAUGUUUGGGCAGAAUCUGGAGGUGCAGCUGAGCUCUGCGAGGACCGAGAACACGACUGUGGUGUGGAAAAGCUUCCAUGACAGCAUCACCCUCAUUGUUCUGUCAUCUGAGGUGGGCAUCUCUGAGCUGAGGCUGGAGAGACUACUCCAAAUGGUGUUUGGAGCCAUGGUCCUUCUUGUGGGACUUGAAGAACUGACCAAUAUCCGCAACGUGGAGAGACUGAAGAAGGACUUGAGGGCCAGUUAUUGCCUCAUCGACAGCUUCCUAGGGGACUCGGAGCUCAUCGGGGACCUGACCCAGUGUGUGGACUGCGUGAUUCCUCCAGAGGGGUCCCUCUUGCAGGUACUGGGGAUGCUAUGGAAACUCUUACACCUGUUCUGCUGGCCCUGGCUCAGUCCUCAUCCUCUUUCUUCUGGACCAUUGUCCCAGCCUCCUCCUAUCCUCUCAGCUUCCAAUCCUAUCCUCACCUGGUCCCAGAAGAAUCUUUUUUCUUUCUUUUUCUUUUCUUUCUUUUCUUUUCUUUCUCUCUUUUUAUUUGAGACGUAGUUUCACUCUUGUUGCCCAGGCUGGAGUACAAUGGCACGAUCUCGGCUCACUGCAGCCUGUGCCUCCCGAGUUCAAGUAAUUCUCCUGCCUCAGCCUCCCGAGCAGCU
rnacentral:sRNA from 1 species